GACGAACGCUGGCGGCGUGCCUAACACAUGCAAGUCGAACGAGGUCCAUCUGGUGGCAACACCAGUGAAGACCUAGUGGCGAACGGGUGAGUAACACGUGAGGAACCUGCCCCGAAGACCGGGAUAACUCUCCGAAAGGAGUGCUAAUACCGGAUACCCCCACCGAGCCGCAUGGUUUGGUGAGGAAAGGUGGGGACCUUCGGGCCUACCGCGAUUGGAUGCACCCAUGUGGGAUUAGCUAGUUGGUGAGGUAACGGCUCACCAAGGCGACGAUCUCUAGCUGGUCUGAGAGGAUGACCAGCCACACUGGAACUGAGACAUGGUCCAGACUCCUACGGGAGGCAGCAGUGGGGAAUAUUGCACAAUGGGGGAAACCCUGAUGCAGCCAUGCCGCGUGUGUGAAGAAGGCC
rnacentral:rRNA from 1 species